UAGGGAAUAUUGGUCAAUGGGUGAGAGCCUGAACCAGCCAUGCCGCGUGCAGGAAGAAGGCCUUCUGGGUUGUAAACUGCUUUUGCCAGGGGAUAAAAAUACCUUGCGAGGUAAAUUGAAGGUACCUGGUGAAUAAGCCACGGCUAACUACGUGCCAGCAGCCGCGGUAAUACGUAGGUGGCAAGCGUUGUCCGGAUUUAUUGGGUUUAAAGGGUGCGUAGGCGGCCCUGUAAGUCAGUGCUGAAAUAUCCCGGCUUAACCGGGAGGGUGGCAUUGAUACUGCGGGGCUAGAGUACAGAUGAGGUAGGCGGAAUUGACGGUGUAGCGGUGAAAUGCUUAGACAUCGUCAAGAACACCUAUAGCGAAGGCAGCUUACUAGGCUGUAACUGACGCUGAGGCACGAAAGUGUGGGGAUCAAACAGGAUUAGAUACCCUGGUAGUCCACACUGUAAACGUUGAUUACUCGCUGUGUGCGAUAUACAGUACGCGGCCAAGCGAAAGCGCUAAGUAAUCCACCCGGGGAGUACGCCGGCAACGGUG
rnacentral:rRNA from 1 species